rnacentral:tRNA from 1 species
UGGGAUGUAGCUCAGCGGUAGAGCAGGAAGCUGUUAACUUCUUGGUCACUGGUUCGAAUCCAGUCUUCCCAG